AUCUACGAUACAUUGUCCAUCCAUUUUAUGCAUUCUGUUUCCCCCCUAGGUAGCGGCAGCUAGAAAAAUGUCUGCAAAGAAAGACCCCUUUGUGCAGCGCCUUAGUGGUCAGUCAGCAGUCUGAUGAUGUCACAGAGGGGCAUGCCGCCAUUCUGCUCCUCAAGGCUCCCUCCAGAUUUAUGCUAAACCAUCCCGUUUCCCAGCAACGACAAACCGAGCAACCAAGCUUCUUCUCCUCGUCAUCUUUUCCCCCCUGCAUUUCCUUCUCUGUACUAUCUUAUUUUCAUUCCGAAGUAGGAUGAGAGACCACGCAAGAAGAAUUCACUCUCACUUUCCUCCUCCGAACUCUAAUUUCAAAUCAUAGCCUUAAUGAAAUACUAAUUAUAUUUAGAUUUAUUUGAUAUAAUUUGAAGUAUAUCUAAAUUCAGAUAUUAAUUCUACAUUUCCAAUGGCUUGAUGACAUUGUUAGGGCUGAUCAGUCUUCUUCAUCACAGUGAAUGCAGAUAUCAACCUUUUAUACAGAGGAGAGAGAAGUUGCCCAUACCUACUGAUAAUAUGAUCAUUUGAUCCUAGAUCUGUGUUUGGGACCAACGUCUUAACAAUAUCACCAUCGUGGCAUAAUUCAUUUCAAUCGUCUUCUUUUUAAUUAGACUUCAUUAACAACAAGCGGUCUUUGUAUUGGAGCCUAUUUCUUCCCAUUUAAGAAAUAAGAGGUAGGCCUACCUGUUUGACAGACUAAAUUAGUCUAUAUUCUGCUAUAUCCUCCACCCACCAUGCACUUUUAAAUAGCUUACCUUCAUGUCAGUGAAAAGCUGUUCAGUUAAAAUCGAGACUCAAAUUGAUGGGGUAGGAGAGAGGACGCAAUAGGCCAACCUUUUAUUGUUAUAGACUUUAUAUUUGUAUUUGUGUUUAUUAUGGAUUCCCAUUAGCUGCUGCCAAGGCAGCAGAUACACUUCCUGAUUUCCAGCAAAAUUAAGGCAGUUCAUACAAUAUUAAAGACUUUUCAAUACAUUUACACAUUUCACAACUCCCUGUGUGCCCUCAGGCCCCUACUCCACCACUACCCCAUUAUCUGCAGUACAAAAUCCAUGUG
rnacentral:lncRNA from 13 species